ACGCUCGACACCUACGGGAGGCAGCAGUGGGGAAUAUUGCACAAUGGGGGAAACCCUGAUGCAGCGACGCCGCGUGAAGGAAGAAGUAUUUCGGUAUGUAAACUUCUAUCAGCAGGGAAGAAGAAAGUGACGGUACCUGACUAAGAAGCCCCGGCUAACUACGUGCCCGCAGCCGCGGUAAUCUGAGCGGGCUGGCAAGGC
rnacentral:rRNA from 1 species